UACGAGGGGGGCAAGCGUUGUUCGGAAUUAUUGGGCGUAAAGGGCGCGUAGGCGGCCCUGUGUGUCGGGUGUGAAAGCCCACCUCUUAAAGGUGGAAUUGCAUUCGAAACUACAGGGCUGGAGUGUCGGAGAGGAUGGCGGAAUUCCUGGUGUAGCAGUGAAAUGCGUGGAUAUCGAGAAGAACACUUAGGGCGUAGGCAAGACUCUGGACAAAUGCUGACGCUCAUGCACGAAGGCUAGGGUAGCGAACGGG
rnacentral:rRNA from 1 species